rnacentral:pre_miRNA from 1 species
AGACACCCUUCUGGGGCAAGACUUGCUUCAGUGGAACUUUGGUGCUCACUGAGUCUGCCCCCUGAGUGUGUCCCU